rnacentral:rRNA from 1 species
GUUGGGUUAAGUCCCGCAACGAGCGCAACCCUUGUGUCCUGUUGCCACUCGAACGAGAGUUCGAAGCACUCUGGACAGACUGCCUCGCUUAAACGAGGAGGAAGGUGGGGAUGACGUCAAGUCAGUAUGGCCCUUACGGCCAGGGCUGCACACGUACUACAAUGCAUGGCACAAAGGGAAGCCAGACCGCAAGGUGGAGCAAAUCCCAUAAAACCAUGCCCAGUUCAGAUUGUCGUCUGCAACUCGACGACAUGAAGCCGGAAUCGCUAGUAAUGGCGCAUCAGCUACG